UACGUAGGGUGCGAGCGUUAAUCGGAAUUACUGGGCGUAAAGCGUGCGCAGGCGGUUCGUUAAGUCAGAUGUGAAAGCCCCGGGCUCAACCUGGGAACUGCAUUUGAAACUGGCGGGCUUGAGUAUGGCAGAGGGGGUGGAAUUCCGCGUGUAGCAGGUGAAAUGCGUAGAGAUGCGGAGGAACACCGAUGGCGAAGGCAGCCCCUGGGCCAAUACGUGACGCCUCAGGCACGAAAGCGUGGGGAGCAAACAGGA
rnacentral:rRNA from 1 species